UACAGAGGGUGCGAGCGUUGUCCGGAAUCACUGGGCGUAAAGGGCGCGUAGGCGGCUUGGUAAGUAGGGGGUGAAAUCUUGCGGCUCAACUGCAAGGCUGCCUCCUAAACUGUCAGGCUUGAGCACAGUAGAGGCAGGUGGAAUUCCCGGUGUAGCGGUGGAAUGCGUAGAGAUCGGGAAGAACAUCGGUGGCGAAGGCGGCCUGCUGGGCUGUUGCUGACGCUGAGGCGCGACAGCGUGGGGAGCAAACAGGAUAGAAACCCUAAGUAG
rnacentral:rRNA from 1 species